rnacentral:misc_RNA from 1 species
AACGCACGAGACCUGCGGACCUGCGGAGGGAUCAUUAGUGAACGCCCUCACGGGCUUAUAACUAUUCCAAACCUCUGUGAACCGUGCCCUUCGGGGCUAUUCUACAAACAUGGUGUAAUGAACGUCAUAUAUCAUAACAAAACAAAACUUUUAACAAUGGAUCUCU